rnacentral:rRNA from 1 species
CAGUCGCCACGGGAAUACGUAGGGUCCGAGCGUUGUCCGGAAUUACUGGGCGUAAAGAGCUCGUAGGUGGUUUGUCGCGUUGUUCGUGAAAACUCACAGCUCAACUGUGGGCGUGCGGGCGAUACGGGCAGACUAGAGAACUGCAGGGGAGACUGGAAUUCCUGGUGUAGCGGUGGAAUGCGCAGAUAUCAGGAGGAACACCGGUGGCGAAGGCGGGUCUCUGGGCAGUAACUGACGCUGAGGAGCGAAAGCGUGGGGAGCGAACAGGAUUAGAGACCCCAGUAGUCCCUGUCUCUUAUAC